GCUGAAGGGACCAGUGGCAGUAUCACAGGGCUCAUAGUGGACACUGGGAUGGUAUGGACCUGCCUUACCAAGGAUAAUGCUCCUACUCUCCUCGGGACUGUAAAUCCACUGGAAUUCUCUCUUCUUGUUGUCUCUCUCUUCAGCUGGGGUCUGGGUUCUGGGUUCUGGAGUCUGGGGUCUGGGGUCUGGACAGUUCAUCUUUCCCUCCUCAACAACCUCUCCUGCACAGUGUCUCAGACACAGGAAACAUUGGCCAGAACUGACCACCGAGGCUUCAUGAUAGGAUCUCCAACCCGUUACCAUGGCGAUGUGUGAAAGACCAGUAGACACUCUUCCAGUCAGUCAUCAACCCCCUCACAGACACGGACAGACUCUGGACACAGUGACCGUUCUACUGGAGGAUAUACAGGGUCACCGUGAGGUUGAAGGUCAGGGUCAGGGGGUUGAGGUUACCUCUGUAGUGCAGUGUUGUGAUGGCCUGAGCCCCAUGUCCACACCACCUCCCCUGGGGGAAUCAGGAGACCCAGAGCCCAUGAACAGUGGAUCUACUCAGGCUCAAACCACAACGAACAGAGAUCUAGAUGAGGUGGACAUGGACCAUACGCAUCCCUGUGAAGCAGAUCCCAUAGAGAGUGGACUGACCCUGGAUCAGACGUGGGACAUGUACGAGGUGGACCAAACCUCCACGAUGAGCUGUGAUACUGAGGUGGAGCUUGGGACGGGGACUGAGACUACUCCACACAUACAGGUGUGUCCUACAGAGUCUGGUCUGGUCACAGAGGUGAAUGGACGCUCUGGGAAACAACAUGGUAGAGAGCCUGUAGAGGAGAGGGAGAGGCCUAAGGAGACCCCUUCUCCACCCUCCUCUCCAGUCUCCUCUCUGCCCCUCUCUCCUGGCCAGACUCUGGGACAUGUUGCCCUUGAUACCCCCCAGGAAAGGUGUCUAGAUGCCCCAGGGCCAGGCAAGGGUAGUUCCAUGGACCUGUUCUGUAUCGUAAAACACAAACCCAGCGCUAUCGUGUUCUCUGGAGACGACAACAUCGACAACGUCAGCCCAACUAGAGUCUUCGUCACCCAGAGCCUCGAUGGAGAGGAGUCUCUCUCGGGCGAUGAGGAUGAGGGUGGCGAUGAUGUGGAGGAGGAAGAGGAGGAAGAGAAGGAUGAAGAGAUCCCUGAACUGCCGCAGUAUAAGGAGUUCCUAGUCAGCCAUCGCCGUAGAAACGUGAGCAGGAACAGGAAGAGGCAGAGGAAAGGACAGGAACUCCCGCCCACUGGCUCUCUGAUUGACCUGGGCUCCACCAAUAAGACCAGGUUAAAGGCCAAGCAGGAAGAAGAUGAGGAAGAGGAGGAGGAGGAAGAAGAGGCUGAAAGGAGACGGCCCUGGCAUUCCCAGCUCCCAGCAUGCAAUGUGCCAGCAAGCGUUCUGUGAGUGUGAGCGUGCUCCUGACCACAUUCUCACACCUGUCAGCGAGGUCCGGCCGGGGCUCCUGGCAGGUUCUCCUAACGUUCCACUGGCAGGUUCUCCUAACGUUCCAC
ensembl:lncRNA